UCGAUUUCUUUAAAAUAAUCUCAUGUUAUAUUUGUUUUAUCUAAAAUUAUUUAAAGUGUUAAAUAAAAAUUAAUUUGUAGGACUAAUAUACUCAUUAGUAAUAACAAAGUAAGGGCAAAGGUUCAAAAAUAUCCCUGAUAUUUAUCCCGAUAUUCCACUUACACCUUAAACUAUUUUUUUUUCCAAAAAUGCCCUUGACGUUACAAAUUUCAGAUCAAACGUGCUCCUUCUGUUAACGAAUCUGCCACCUUGAAAAACAGGACUUAAACCCUCUAUGACGUGGCUGACACGUGACAAUAUUUAAUGACGUGUACAAAAAUUCAUUAACACAAAUAAUUAAAAAAUCUAAUUUUUAUUAAUUAUUUAUUUUAUUUUUCUUUCAAACAAAAUACAUAAUUAAUAAACAAAAUAAAUAUUUAUAUUUAUAUUUAAUUCAUUAACACAAAUAACAAAAAUUCGUCGAAUUAAUUAAUAUAAAUAACCCUAAAUUAAUUAAUACAAAAAUUAAUUCAGUCUUCUUCCUCUUCGUGAAUUCGUAGUCUGCAAAAUCCUAACACCGCCAACCAACACUUCGCCACCGUCGACCCACCACAACACCACCAACCCCCACUCCGCCACCGUCGACCGGUCUGUACCACCGACCAUUCCCACGAACGGUCCGACCGGCUGCGGCAGAGCAUCCCGAACCAUUGAAGGCUCGAAGCACAACCGGUAAUCUCAAAUCAAAAACCAGUAAUCUCAAAUCAAAAAAUCUUGAGUACACCAGAAAUCUAGAUCUAGAUUGAGAACAUUUUUAUUUGUGAAAAACAAAUUUACACCUUCAAAAUCAGAUUUCAAAACCCCCAAACAAAACCACAGAAACCCCAAUUUUCUCUCUCCAAAUCCCUAGAAAUUCUUCCAAUCAAACCCCAAAAUCACCAUCACUCUCCACUCUUCGCCGCCACCGCCCUUCCCUUGCUCCUUCCCGAUCGAAAGUCGCUCGAAGACUCAAGGCCUAGACGGGUGUGCAGAGUAGGAUUUGAUCGAGAUCAGGGGGAAAGGGAUGACAGGGAAAGGAAGAGGAGGGGGAAGGGGGAAGGGGGAAGGGACGGGGAAGANNNN
rnacentral:lncRNA from 1 species